CAUCAUCAUGGCAUCAUGCAUCUCUCACCUUGCAUAUUUUGCGAAAAACCAAAAUUAUUUGCAAUAACCCUAUUUUGAUUUCUCUUGUAUGGUUUAAUAAAAACCUUCCUCUGCGCUUUUCUUAUUUUAACAAAACUCGAAACAAAGAUAUUUGCAAAAUUUUAGACAAACAGUUUUACUAAAAUAUGGUUUGGAAAUGUUGUCCGCUCCCGGUAUCUUUCUCUUUUCUUAGUAUCUUUCUUCCCAGUUUUGACAUUCUUUUCCAUUCCUUUGAUCAUCUAUCAAGUGUAAAAUUUCCCAGAUUUCUUUGAUUAAAAACGUACGAGCUAACUAGCUGGUCAAUUCUCUGUUUCUGGAAACGACCGAAGCUGAGUCUCUUUUUCCUGUCCUCCUCCUCACGAUGAGAGCGUGAGCUCUCUGGCUCACGUCACCUGCGUGCGCGCCGUGCCCGCACUGGCUCCUCUUGAUAUUUUUCUUGGAAGCCCUCCACAGCCACACAACGCAACCCGCCUCCACCUGCUCCUUCCUCCUUUCCCCUUCUCCACGGCAAGGAACCAGAAGAAAAACCCCAUGGCCGCAUCUCACAGAAACGUUGAACGUGUCGUCGCCUCCGACCGCCCCUCGUCGAACCGAAGGCACGAGAAGAUGCGCCUCGUCGAGCUCUACAUCGUGGUGCAAGGAAUCGUCCUCGCACGCUCUGAAUCCUCGCCAAAUUCGCCGAUACCCAACUCCGGCCGCCACGCUCCGGCGAUGAUUCCGGCGGCUGCGUUACCUCUCCGGUCUCGUCGAUGCCUCCAUCAGCUUCCCGAUGGUCGUCGCCGUGAACCUCCGCUGGUCUUCCAGUUCCAAGUCCGCCAAUUACAGGCUCCUCGUGUCCUUCCGCUUCGAACGCACCGGCUUCCUCGUCCUGGCGCGAUCCCAUCCGUCGAGUCCGUCUCCGACCAGAGUACUCCCUGCCAUGGACGUCAUGUCUGAGUUCUACCUGUGCUUCUUUCAGUUGGACACGAUCCUGCUUCCUGUUGGUUCAAAAUAACCGCGGCCUCUUCGUAAACAUGAAUCUGUCUUAACCUAGUUGGUUUGCUGGGUGCAUCUGCUGCUGAACCACCCAGAUCUGAAGUGCAGCGCAAUGUGUGUUCCCUGAAUGUUCACUGUGAGGUGCUGGGUUCAAUUCCAGCCAGCUGCACAUUUUUUUGCCAUUCCGAUCUGCCAAUGGGCCUCAGCCUGGAUCCUUCGAUGCUGCCCAUUGCCUGCGCGUCUCUGUCGCCGCAUCAGACGAACUCCGACGCAGUACAAGGCAGGUCGAGCCCAGUUCUUCCUCUGUCCGUUCCCUUUUCUUUUGUUUUUGCAGGAAAGGUGUUGUUCUUGCUAAAAUCAUAUCUCCUAAUCCGUAACUCGGAUUAAAAU